AGACCAAGGUGCUGGCAGAUUCAGUGUCUACGACAAGCCUGCUUCCUGGUAUAUAGAUGGCUGUCUUCUCACUGUGACCUCACGUGGCAGAAGGGGCAAGAGAGGUGUCUGAGGCCUCUUUUAUGAGGACAUCGAUCCACCCUCAUGACCUCACGACCUCCCCAAGGCCUCACUCCCUAGUACCGUCACCUUGGGAAUUAAGCGUCAACCUAUGACCUUUGAGGCACAAACAUUCAGCCCGUAACACUGUGACUGUCUCUUAAGAUCGAGCUUUACAUUUUUCUCAGAAUUCAUGUCUGCUUCUGAGAAGUCCUGAGGUUUUCUUGAAAUGUAAUUAAGAUUAUGCAUGUUUCACAAAUAAUGCUUAAACACCAUAACCUCCGGAAAACCAUGCCAGUGCACAAGUUGUGAUAAGGGAAAAUACAACCCAGCUCAAACCUGGUAACAAAAGCAAUGCUGGGGAUUAACCAUAUGGCCCACGGCACCACUCCAGAAAGCAUCCCAGUGAUUAAAGGGCACCUCGGGCUUUUGAAUCAGAAGGAAAUGUUCUCCGAAGUGGGAGUGCGUGCUGUGUUUCAGAAAUUACUCAAACAUACGUGGAGAAAACAGUUUACAGAACGAACGUGAGCCAGAGUGAAAUCCAGACGCCCCUUCUUCCAGCCCCACCGAUUCUCUCCCAUCGAAGGAAUGUGCUAACCUUUUGAAAAGUGCUUUCGUUUAAAAAAGUAAUGGUCAGAACCCUGCUCCGUCCUUCAGUAACCAUAUUUUACCCCACAGUUGACAUUUAUAUGCCAGCGACUCAUUCGUUACAAAUUCUAAUUGCGAGCAACAGUCCAAAAAAGACAAUGCGAAAGGCAAAAAGAGAAAAGGCUCAGAAACCCUUUGAGAUCCCAUCUAAUUAAAAAUGCAAAUUAAGAAAGAAACCUCAAGUCAUAAGUCCUGUUCCAUCUUUUCAAAGGCACCAAUUACCAGUGAGUCAUUGUGAAAGGGACUGCCUUUAAUUUUAAGUCAAAUUUCUCAACAAUAUCCCAUUGGCAGGAAAUUAAAGCGACUGCCAGCUUAGUGGUACAAUUAACACUUUGACCUUUGUUAUCCAAACUUUAUUCAUUCUUGUUCUGUUUCUCUAAGCAAUCACUAAUGCAGACAAUUUUCCACCGCAUUUUUCUGAGGUCCCGAGAACAUUUUGUUUUCUAGUGAUAAGCAAUCUCAUCUCUGAACUAACGCACCCCUUUUCAUGAAACCGUAUUGGGGGACAUUCCAGAAAAGAACAAACUCCUUGAUAGAAUCUCUUUUCUAAUAAUGCUUCCGAAAGCAAGGUAGGAGAGUAUGUUACUGCAGAACAAAGGUCCUCAGACAGGAGAUACCGAUCACCAAAGGACUCUUGCUCGACCUGAAUCUGGCCAUAUGCUAAUAUGGAUACAUGUCAUAUGUCAGGGUCUUCAUUGUUUUGUCUCCAGAUACUAAUUCCUAAUGUAUGCAUUAUACUUUGUAUAUUUCCUUUAUACUUUGUAUAAUUCCUAAGAAGUAACACUAGCUACGGAAUACAUUUUUUUUUAAGUCUAAGAACUGGAAGAGAAAUACAAGAGAUUAUACAGGCCAAUCUCUCCAGUCUAGGGCUCACCUGAUA
rnacentral:lncRNA from 1 species